UGUACAAAAAUUCACACAUAGGCACAUAUGGAAUGUGGCUGAAAAUUCAAGUGAUGAGAUGCCUAGUGUUGGAGGACUGUCAUACCAAGAUGAAGAAUGUGUAGGUUUUCAUAUUCAACCUAAUGAAGGAAAUUUGGACAAUGCACCGUUGAGUGAAGAAAAUUGUGUACAUGUUGAUGCAAGUGUGGUUGAUGAGCUUCGUCGCCAAAGAGAUGAUAUGCAAGAAAAUAAUUCAGGUUUAGAAGAAGAUGAAACUCAACUGCAGUACAUUAGUGAUGAUGAACAUCGAACAGUUCUUGACUAUGAAGAUGAAGAUAGCGAUGCCGAGUAGUAAUGCUAGUUUGAAACGUUGAAAUUCUGGAAUAUCUGCAUGCUGCCAUAAGAUUUCUCCUAGAAUGGUAUCUUUGUUGCUGUCAGCCAAGAGAAGUGGAGGACUUCGCGAGGAGGUUGAAUUCAAUUUGGCCUGAAAGAAUGCAUCUGGGACAGGACUGUAUAGGGCUGAAUCACAUGUGACUGUCAGGAGCAUGCAGGAGCAGCACCAGCACCAGCAGGGUAACUUUGUGCGUAGGGUAACUUGGAAGAGAGCUAAGACAAACUGGCCACCAAGCGUGCAGAUAUGCUCAUCUGUUUCAUUUGGCCAUUUUCGGUGGUGAGGAUUGCCCUGUUGGCAUGAAGCAUAGUGAGGUUUAGAUCCAGGGAAAAUAAUUUUUCACCUUUUUUUUUGGGAAGCGUCAAUGACUGUCCCCUUUAUUCCUUGGCUGUGUUGGCGAUUUUCCCCAAUAGAGGUUGAUGGUGGUUGGUGCUCGUUGAAGGGAUCCUGUUGAUUAACUGAACGGUGCACAUGUGACACUUUAAUUUCUUAUCAUCAAAAUCGAUA